CCCCGAUCGAUUUUUUGGGGGCAAAUUCCGCGAUUUUGGGGCCCCCGCGCGACCUUCAGCCCCAGUUCCCAAAUUCCCGAAAUUCCCAAAUUCCCGCAAUUCCCCUCCCCCUCCCCAUCCCCCCCUUUGCCCAAAUUUUCCCGAUUUUCCCCCCAAUUUUUCCCAACUUUUCACCAAAUUUUCCCAAUUUUUUCCUUCCAAAUUUUCCCAAAUUUUUCCUUUUCCCCCCAAUUUUUCCCCUUUUUCCUCGAUUUUCCCCCAAUUUUUCCCGAUUUUCCCCCAAUUUUCCCCCAAUUUUCCCUCAAAUUUUCCCAAAUUUUUCAUUCCAAAUUUCCCCAUUUUUCCCAAAUUUUUCUCAAUUUUUCUCCUCCCUCCCCCCACUUUUUCCCAAUUUUUCCUCUAUUUUUUUCCCAAAUUUUUCCAAUUUUUCUCCUCCUUUCCCCCAUUUUUCCCCCAAAUUUUCUCUAAUUUUUCCUUCCAAAUUUUCCCAACUCUUCAUUUUCCUUCCUCCAAUUUUCCCCCAAUUUUCUCCCAAUUUCCCCAAAAAUUUCCCCCCAAUUUUUCCCUAUUUUCCCCCAAUUUUUUUCCCAAAUUUUUCCUUUUCCCCCCAAUUUUUCUCCUUCCUUUUCCCCAUUUUCUCCAAAUUUUCUCAAUUUUUCCCCAAUUUCCCCCAACUUUUCACCAAAAUUUCCCAAAUUUUUCCUUCAAAAUUUUCCCAAUUCUUCAUUUUUCAUCCUCCAAUUUUCUUCCCAAUUUUUCCCCAAAUUUUUCCUUUUCCUCCCAUUUUUUUCCCCAUUUUUUCCCCAAUUUUUCUCCUUCCUUUUCCCCGUUUUUCCCAAAUUUUCCCAAUUUUUUCCCCCAAUUUUCCCACAACUUUUCACCAAAUUUUCCCAAAUUUUUCCCUCAAAAUUUCCCCAAUUUUUCUCCUUCUUUCCCCCAAUUUUUCUCUUUCCUUCCCCACUUUCUCCCCAUUUUUCCACAAUUUUUUCCCCAAAUUUUCCCCAUUUUUCCCCAAAUUUUCCUUCAAAAUUUCCCCAUUUUUCUUCUCCCUCUCCCAACUUUUUCCCAAUUUUUCCCCAAUUUUUCCCCAAAUUUUCCCCAAUUUUCCCCCAAAUUUUCCCAAUUCUUCAUUUUCCUUCCCCCAAUUUCACCCCAUUUUCUCCCAAUUUUCCCCAAAAAUUUUCCCCCAUUUUCCUCAUUUUUUCCCCAUUUUUCCCCAAAUUUUCUCCUCCUUUUCCCCAAUUUUUCUCCUUCCUUUUCCCCAUUUUUCCCCCAAUUUUUCCCAAAUUUUUCUCCUCAUUUUUCCCAUUUCUUGCACAUUUUCCCCAUUUCCCCCCAUUUUUCCACCUGGGGCACAGCUGGGCACAGCUGGGCACACCUGGGCACACCUGGGCACACCUGGGGCACACCUGGACACACCUGGGACACACCUGGGCCACAUUGAGGCACAUACAGACACACCUGGNNNNNNNNNNNNNNNNNNNNNNNNNNNNNNNNN
rnacentral:lncRNA from 1 species